rnacentral:rRNA from 1 species
GGCGUAAAGGGCUCGCAGGCGGUUUCUUAAGUCUGAUGUGAAAGCCCCCGGCUCAACCGGGGAGGGUCAUUGGAAACUGGGAAACUUGAGUGCAGAAGAGGAGAGUGGAAUUCCACGUGUAGCGGUGAAAUGCGUAGAGAUGUGGAGGAACACCAGUGGCGAAGGCGACUCUCUGGUCUGUAACUGACGCUGAGGAGCGAAAGCGUGGGGAGCGAACAGGAUUAGAUACCCUGGUAGUCCACGCCGUAAACGAUGAGUGCUAAGUGUUAGGGGGUUUCCGCCCCUUAGUGCUGCAGCUAACGCAUUAAGCACUCCGCCUGGGGAGUACGGUCGCAAGACUGAAACUCAAAGGAAUUGACGGGGGCCCGCACAAGCGGUGGAGCAUGUGGUUUAAUUCGAAGCAACGCGAAGAACCUUACCAGGUCUUGACAUCCUCUGACAACCCUAGAGAUAGGGCUUUCCCUUCGGGGACAGAGUGACAGGUGGUGCAUGGUUGUCGUCAGCUCGUGUCGUGAGAUGUUGGGUUAAGUCCCGCAACGAGCGCAACCCUUGAUCUUAGUUGCCAGCAUUCAGUUGGGCACUCUAAGGUGACUGCCGGUGACAAACCGGAGGAAGGUGGGGAUGACGUCAAAUCAUCA